rnacentral:lncRNA from 1 species
CGACUGGAGAAAGGGGACACAAGCGCGGCUCUGUGACGCGCUCCGGUCACGCUCCGCCUGCUCUUCCGCGGAGUUUCCUAGUAAGCGGGAGCGCGCCGCGGUGAGCACAUUCACAGAGAAUUUCAAUACCUAGGAAAUGAGUCAUAAGCGGAGCCGCAUGUUCGCGCGUGGGCGGCUCCCGACAGCUCGCAUAGUACUGCGGCUGACUCACUCACUGACUGGGUACACGGCUGCUGUCGCUGCACUCGAACCCGAGCUCUCGAACGCAAUGGACCCGAAAGUGCUCUUGUACGUAACUUGGGGAGCGAUGCUCGCGGCCGGGACGAGCGCGCAGAACAGUCAGUGUGGCCGAGAUGAGUUUUGGAAUUCGGACAUAGGCCAAUGUGUGCCCUGUUCAACGUGCCAGAAAUAUCCAAAGACCCCAUCAUGCGAGACAUGCUCUUUAGCAGAAAGCAGCUCUGAUGUCUGGAAGCUGGCAGCCAUUACUAGUUUCUCCACCCUGGCAAUCGUACUGUUUGUAGGUGUCCUGCUAGUAGGAAUACUGGUGCAUCGAUCUAGGUCGAGGAGGAAAAGCAAUUUACGUGAAAAAACGUUAGCCAUGGCUAUGGGUGUAGAAAAACAUUCUGGUGGUCCAAGUUCUGGUGAAGAUGGUAAAAGCUGUAAAAAGGCUAUAACGCUAAAUCAGAAGUUGGACGUUAUAAAGUGUUUCACAGGAAGCAAAAUAGCAAACUAACCUGUUGAGGAGACGACCGGACCUCUUUAUCAGAUAUGAACAUUUGCACAGUUUACACCUGAGCAAAUGUCACCUGUACUGAUGUGCCCAGCUGACAGAUUUCUGUAAAAGGCACCAGAACAUGAGAGAAGUUUGGGACGACCGUAAUUCCAUUCACUUCCUCAGUGUUUAUAACGCCUGUCUGCUGUUCUUCAAUGUCUGUGAUGAAUAAGAUGAACAUUGCACACAUAAGAUGAAGCAGUAAACAAAAAGCAUUGAAUAGAAGUUUGUUUUAAUUUCAUUCAUUUUAAAUUAUUUUUAAUUUUAUUGUAGAUCACUUAAUAAAAAUAUUAAGCCUUAAAUAUUUUUUAAAUUU